AGGAAGUAAAAGUCGUAACAAGGUUUCCGUAGGUGAACCUGCGGAAGGAUCAUUACCGAGUUCAUGCCCUUACGGGUAGAUCUCCCACCCUUUGUAUACUAUACCUUUGUUGCUUUGGCGGGCCGCCUAGCUACUGGCUUCGGCUGGUAAGUGCCCGCCAGGGGACCCAAAACCCUGAAUUAUUAGUGUCGUCUGAGUAAAAAAGUUAAUAUUUAAAACUUUCAACAACGGAUCUCUUGGCUCUGGCAUCGAUGAAGAACGCAGCGAAAUGCGAUAAGUAAUGUGAAUUGCAGAAUUCAGUGAAUCAUCGAAUCUUUGAACGCACAUUGCGCCCCUUGGUAUUCCGAGGGGCAUGCCUAUUCGAGCGUCAUUAUCACCCCUCAAGCCUAGCUUGGUGUUGGGGCUUGCUGUAAAGGCAGCCUCUAAAAUCAGUGGCAGUGCUGUCAGGCUCUAAGCGUAGUAAAUUCAUCGCUAUAGGGUCCUGGUGGAUACUCGUCAAAACCCCCCAUUUUUAAUGAUUGACCUCGGAUUAGGUAGGGAUACCCGCUGAACUUAAGCAUAUCA
rnacentral:rRNA from 1 species